rnacentral:rRNA from 1 species
CANUCCGCCUGGGGAGUACGACCGCAAGGUUGAAACUCAAAGGAAUUGACGGGGGCCCGCACAAGCGGUGAGCAUGUGGUUUAAUUCGAAGCAACGCGAAGANCCUUACCAGGUCUUGACAUCCCGAUGCUAUUCUUAGAGAUAGGAAGUUACUUCGGUACAUCGGAGACAGGUGGUGCAUGGUUGUCGUCAGCUCGUGUCGUGAGAUGUUGGGUUAAGUCCCGCAACGAGCGCAACCCUUAUUGUUAGUUGCCAUCAUUAAGUUGGGCACUCUAGCGAGACUGCCGGUAAUAAACCGGAGGAAGGUGGGGAUGACGUCAAAUCAUCAUGCCCCUUAUGACCUGGGCUACACACGUGCUACAAUGGUCGGUACAACGAGUUGCGAGCCGGUGACGGCAAGCUAAUCUCUGAAAGCCGAUCUCAGUUCGGAUUGGAGGCUGCAACUCGCCUCCAUGAAGUCGGAAUCGCUAGUAAUCGCGAAUCAGCACGCCGCGGUGAAUACGUUCCCGGGCCUUGUACACACCGCCCGUCACACCACGAGAGUUUGUAACACCCGAAGUCGGUGAGGUANCCUUUUAGGG